rnacentral:sRNA from 1 species
GAAAAUCAGAAAAACUGGCUACAUAAGGUGUAUUACCCUAGAGUGAUCUCCCAAGUAAAAAUAUUUUAAACAAUAUUUAUCAUGAAUUAUUAAUCUAAUACUGGACAAAAAACCUGCCAGUUGUUGUACUGUUUAAUAGCACAGAUUUUGUGUUUAUCAUUUAUUUAAAGGUAAAUUUGAUGUCUAAGAUUAAAGGUAACGUUAAAUGGUUUAAUGAAUCUAAAGGAUUUGGUUUCAUUACUCCUGAAGAUGGUAGCAAAGAUGUGUUUGUACAUUUUUCUGCUAUUCAAAGCAAUGGUUUCAAAACUCUGGCUGAAGGUCAACGUGUAGAGUUUGAAAUUACUAAUGGUGCAAAAGGUCCUUCAGCUGCUGAGGUUACUGCUAUUUAAACUGCUAUUUAAUUGGCUAGUUUCCUAAAAAAACCCGCUUUAAAGCGGGUUUUUUCUA